rnacentral:tRNA from 2 species
GCGCGGGUGUUGAAAUUGGUAGACAAGCUACCUUGAGGUGGUAGUGCCCGCAAGGGCGUGGAGGUUCAAGUCCUCUCCCGCGCACCA